GACGAACGCUGGCGGCGUGCCUAAUACAUGCAAGUUGAGCGCUGAAGGUUGGUACUUGUACCAACUGGAUGAGCAGCGAACGGGUGAGUAACGCGUGGGGAAUCUGCCUUUGAGCGGGGGACAACAUUUGGAAACGAAUGCUAAUACCGCAUAAAAACUUUAAACACAAGUUUUAAGUUUGAAAGAUGCAAUUGCAUCACUCAAAGAUGAUCCCGCGUUGUAUUAGCUAGUUGGUGAGGUAAAGGCUCACCAAGGCGAUGAUACAUAGCCGACCUGAGAGGGUGGUCGGCCACAUUGGGACGGGGACACGGCCCAAACCCCUACGGGAGGCAGCAGUAGGGAAUCUUCGGCAAUGGACGAAAGUCUGACCGAGCAACGCCGCGUGAGUGAAGAAGGUUUUCGGAUCGUAAAACUCUGUUGGUAGAGAAGAACGUUGGUGAGAGUGGAAAGCUCAUCAAGUGACGGUAACUACCCAGAAAGGGACGGCUAACUACGUG
rnacentral:rRNA from 1 species